GUAGGUGGCAAGCGUUGUCCGGAAUUAUUGGGCGUAAAGCGCGCGCAGGCGGUUCUUUAAGUCUGAUGUGAAAGCCCACGGGCUCAACCGUGGAGGGUCAUUGGAAACUGGAGAACUUGAGUACAGAAGAGGAAAGCGGAAUUCCACGUGUAGCGGUGAAAUGCGUAGAGAUGUGGAGGAACACCAGUGGCGAAGGCGGCUUUCUGGUCUGUAACUGUCGCUGAGGCGCGAAAGUGUGGGGAGCAAACAGGAUUAGAUACCCUGGUAGUCCACGCCGUAAACGGUGAGUGCUAAGUGUUAGGGGGUUUCCGCCCCUUAGUGCUGCAGCUAACGCAUUAAGCACUCCGCCUGGGGAGUACGGCCGCAAAGGCUG
rnacentral:rRNA from 1 species